UACAGAGACUGCAAGCGUUAUUCGGAUUCACUGGGCGUAAAGGGUGCGCAGGCGGCCAAGUGUGUCAGGUGUGAAAUCCCGAGGCUUAACCUCGGAACUGCGCCUGAAACUACUUGGCUAGAGUACUGGAGAGGGUAACGGAAUUCACGGUGUAGCAGUGAAAUGCGUAGAUAUCAGAAGGAACACCUGUGGUGUAGACGGCUUUCUGGACGAUUCCUGACGCUGAGACACGAAAGCGUGGGUAGCAAACAGG
rnacentral:rRNA from 1 species